rnacentral:miRNA from 1 species
UAGUAUACGUGAUAUUUUAGG